UCAGCUAACAUACCACUAUUGCUGUAAAUUCAAGGUUCUUCUCCUGCUCCACAAAAUUAUUUCAUAAAUUUCCAUCAUUACCGGUCAGUGUUCGAACCACCACUCCAGUCGUCUUCCACCAAGAAAACUCCACCUUCUCUCCACCUAGAAAAUCAUCAGCAAUCACUCAUCGGAAAUACUCACCAAAAAGCUUGAGAAAAAGAAGAAGAGCUAAAUCCAAAAGAAAGAAAUCCUUCAUAAAAACCCAUUUACCAGUGACCUCCUGUUUCUUUUUAAAAUUCCACCUAACGGAAAAAACUUUUUUUUGCUAAAAAGUUUUCUUUACUUCUUGAACAUAUCAAAACCAGUAAAUCUUUCUCGCAAACAAAGAAGAAUCAAUCAGGGUCCUGCUUUCUUUACAUAUUUUCAGGAUAAGAUGCGGCAUGUAAUGGGCGGAUGAGGCUAGGAUGACUCUCUCUACAAGGAAUCAUCCGAAUGCAAUUUGGGAUGAAGUUGUGAGAAUUGGAGCGAAAACGGGAAGAAAAGGAAAAAGUGCACAUUAUAGCGCCACAGGCAGUGUGUGGCGCACAAAAUAGAAUGUUUAAAAAACCCACCUCCAGGGCUAGCGCCCCACGUUACCCUAGGCGCUGGUGACGUGAAAGUUGUCGUAUUUCGAUUUGGACUUGGUUAUUUUGACUCAAGACGCCCCCAACUCAUAUAAAAACCAACCUAAACCUAUUUUGGGGAUGAGGAGGCUAAUUUGACAGAGGAACAAAAGUAAGAAACACUCGGGAGCACGAAUUUGAUCAAUUCUUCCAUUCUUC